CUAGGCCUGGGUACCGGAGGGAGGGAGGUGGGCAGAGGAGGGGAGAUGGGCACCCCCAGUCUUUCCAUCCUCCUCAUUCGACUAGGGGCACCCGAAUCCCCUAUUCCUUAUUUCCCCUAUCACUCAGGCACUGGCAGGGUCCUUUGCCCACUCCUGUUGGCCGCUGCGGCUCCAAAGCGAGAUGUGCCUGAGACAGGUUUGACCAGGCAACUGAAAAGACAUCCCUAAGAGAAGACAAAGCAAAGGUAUGAAAGGAACACACAUCCCUGACUGACUAGGAGGAACAGAGCUGCCUGCUGUCUGGAACCGCUUCCUCCAAGACUAAGUGAGAAAUAAACUUCUGUUUUCUAUA
rnacentral:lncRNA from 1 species